CUUGGCUUCUCCUCAAGUUUGAGUGAGCCCCUGUCAGUCUACACCACCCCUCCUCAUGUUCGGCUGUUUUCAAGCCGGCACACUGGCAAAGAUGCUGCCAGGAAAGAAGGAAGCCAAGCCCAGGGAGAGGAGAGAGCUGGUUUGCUGUGGGUGGCCAGGAACAAGGUCCCGUGUGUGGAGGAGACAGAACACAGUCAUGAUAUCAGGCCGGGAGCAGUGGCUGACUCCUGAGCCCCUUUCAGAGAGUAAAGAGAGCUGGAACAAGGGAGCAAUGCUGACGGAAGGACAGACAGACAGAUGGACAGACUGCACUGGGGGCAGAAGGGCCCGCAGGCUCCAGACGAGCACGAUCAGCAGGAGAAAGCAGGCCAUGCGCAGGUGAUGUGGGUGCCAGAAGCAACCCAGCAGAUAGAGGAAUUCCAAUAACCGCACAGCACUCAAGUAAAAUAAAAACACCGUGACUUCGCAGCAAGCCAGUAUGGCCCCCUAGAGGCCAAGGGCAGAAUUUUAUUUUUAUCUAUCUAUCUCUCUGUCUAUCUCUCUAUCUGUCUGUCUAUCUAUCUAUUUUCGAGACAGAAUCUCCCUUUGUCGCCCAGGAUGGAGUGCAGUGAUGUGAUCUCGGCUCACUGCAACCUCCGCCUCCAGGCUUCAAGUGAUUCCCCUGCCUCAGCC
rnacentral:lncRNA from 1 species